UCUCGAGAGCUGGUUAAGUUUUAAUUUUUUGAGUUAAAGGAAUAAGGGGUAGCUUUAAACA
rnacentral:tRNA from 1 species